CUACGGGAUGCUGCAGUGGGGAAUAUUGCACAAUGGAGGAAACUCUGAUGCAGCAACGCCGCGUGGAGGAUGACACUUUUCGGAGCGUAAACUCCUUUUAUAUAGGAAGAAGAUGACGGUACUAUAUGAAUAAGCGCCGGCUAACUCCGUGCCAGCAGCCGCGGUAAUACGGAGGGCGCAAGGCGUUACUCGGAAUCACUGGGCGUAAAGAGCGUGUAGGCGGAUUAAAAAGUCAGAAGUGAAAUCCUAUAGCUUAACUAUAGAACUGCUUCUGAAACUCUUAAUCUAGAAUAUGGGAGAGGUAGAUGGAGUUUCUGGUGUAGGGGUAAAAUCCGUAGAGAUCAGAAGGAAUACCGAUUGCGAAGGCGAUCUACUAGAACAUUAUUGACGCUGAGACGCGAAAGCGUGGGGAGCAAACAGGAUUAGAUACCCGCGUAGUC
rnacentral:rRNA from 1 species